rnacentral:rRNA from 1 species
AUGUCGUCUUCGGAGCCGCCCCCAGGCCCCGCCGCCUCCAGCUCCGGCGACCUGCCCGCGGACGCGCUGUACGAGGUCCUCCUCUGCAUCCCGGCCAAGGAGCUCUGCCGCCUCCGCGCCGUCUGCCCGGCCUGGCGCGCCCUCACCUCCGACCCGCUCUUCGUCGCGGCGCACAAGUCCCGCCACCACAAGGCGCCCCCGCUCCUCGCCGUGGCCUACGACGACGACGGUAAUCACAACGGUGUCGAGAUUUUGGAUCUGUCGGGCAACGUGGUGAAGCGGAUUCCGAACACCGAGUACAAAGCUGUUCUGAUGCACGAUAGUAUCCGUGUUGUGCGCACGCGGCUGGACCUCAUCUGUUUGAGUUGGGUUGUCUGCUCUCGGGCCUUCUGGGUGCUGAAUCCCGCCACUGGAGCUACUAUCGCCUUGCCGUUGGGCUUCUCAGAGGAAUUGGAGCAUGAGCUAGAGGGAUUCAUUUGGGACUGCCAAGUUGAGUCCUGUGCUUUUGGGCAUGUCUCCUCUACCAGAGAGUACAAGGCGCUCCGUGUCUCUAGAAUUAAUCAUCACCAGCAGGUAAGUGAGGUUAUCACCUUUGAUGACACCAACCAUGGAUGCUGGAGGAGAAAGCAGGACCCUCCGUCCGAUAUCUGUACUGGUAAGAUGAAAUGUGUGGUCGUCGAUGGGGUGGUCUACUUCUUGAUGAAUUUUUACUGCACAUACUUUGAAACUGGGGUUAUAACCAUUGAGCGCGAAUUUUUACUGCACAUACUCGUUCAACCUUGA